rnacentral:tRNA from 1 species
GCGCGGGUGGCGAAAUUGGCAGACGCACUACCUUGAGGUGGUAGCGCCUUCACAGGCAUGGAGGUUCAAGUCCUCUCCCGCGCA